rnacentral:lncRNA from 1 species
GUUUUGGCCACGGCCAUCCUGCAGGACCCAGGUAAAUUUCCAAAUAAUUUCAAAACAGUUUAAUAAAUUUCUCUGGCAGGGUUCCAGAGCCCUCCUGGUGCUAUAACCAAUAUGGGUGUUGUAGUAGUUAUGGUGUUUUGAAUGUUCCUUCAGUCAUAUUGAUAAUUGGUGUGCUAUGACUUUGAAAUGAACUGUAAUAAAGCAUUUGAAAUAACCCAGUGUCAUCAAUACAACGAGUCGUCAAAUCUUCACAUAAAUCAACCACCUGCUCGAUAUUACUGCUCUAUCUUCCUUUAUUACAGUGAGUAAUUAAUGACCUUUGUAAAAGCAAAGAUACUCAGUAAGUAUCCUCUCUUUUUGUUUGUCGUAUGUUGACUUUUGCAAUCUUAUGCAUUCUUUGUACACCUCAGCAGGAUAUUGAUCAAUUUGAUUUUAGCUAAAUGGGUCCACUAAGCUAAGAAAACAUUAACUAUUAGCCAGACUCAUAAAAGCAAACAUAGCUUUUGGGAUUUUACUUUGUUGAAGUCAUUGAUGAGAACAAUUUCGCACACCUCUUACAUAGGGAAUAAAAAACAAACAACCCAGGUAAGUAAUGCUAAAACUGUCCUAAAGCAGAAUUAGCAAUAGACAGUUUAUAUUCGAUUUAGGUCUUAAGGAUUAAAUCCAGCUGUUUAUUGAAAGAUAAAAAAGAAAACACAAGGAGGGGCUGUUUUAGUUCUCUGGUGUUUUAGAUAUCAAGAUGGUGUCUGUUUGAAUUUUCUCUAAUGUCAUCAUGUGAACUUAGGUUCAUCAUCAGAGUUGCGGUGAAUACACAGGGAGAUACUUUGUUUAUAAUAGUAACAGAGUGAACUUUGAGUUUUGUUUAGCUUUUAUUCCAAUUUUGUUAUGUGCUGUGGGCUAUAUAUAUUUAUUCUUAUACGUUACUUUUUAACUAUCCAGCAAAGUACAAAAAUAGUUUAAAAGUAAACAAAUUAUAAACUUUUCUCAAGUGUUAGAAUCAACAGCAAAAUAAUAAACAAUGUAUCGAAAUGUAGCGCAAAAAUAGACUGGUGUCAGUGCACAUGGAUUUUCUUUAUGCUGACCCAUAGUUCUUGUUUCAUUAUAUUGCUUGACAUUGAAAAUAGAAUAUAUAGCAAAACGCAAAGUGAGUCAUUCUUGUCCUAUCAUAUUAAAGAAGGCUUUACUCAUGCUUUACGUGUAUUUAUUUAUAUGUUAGUUCAUGUUAGAAAAUAGUAUUUCAUUUAGUAAAACAGCUUUUUUGUUUUCAAAAUUUACUGCUACCAAAAUAAGUAUUUUCAUGCAAAUUAAAAGACAUUCCAUGUUUCGAUCAAUGAAAUUGUGUCAGCAUUAUUUUCUUUAAAAUUAAUAAUAAGAGAGCAGGAAGAGGGGAGAGAGGAUAACCCGAAAUUUUAAAGACAUCAUAACAAACCACAAGGCUGAACGUUAAGUAGUCUAUAAAUUUCUCCAGAACCUAAAGAUGACUUAUUUUCCCCCAUAAUAUGCACUUUGCAGUAAUGUAUCUUUUAAUUCUUCUUUUAGCUAUAACAUUGGUGUUGCGUUAUGGAGAUAUUGCUCUCAUUGUUUUCCUUUUUGGAUUAUACACUGUCAUAUACGGAGGUUUAUAGAAGAGUGAAAUACACAGUUUGCAGGUGUUUUUGAGACCUUUUGAGAUCUUUUUAUUUCUCCUGGACUAAAGAACGGUUAGAAGGAAUUUGAGAAUGAAAAGAAAAGACUUGGUUAAAAUAGAAAAAGAAAACCUCAAGAGCAAAAACAGAUUAAAUUGAAGGAUGAGGACAAUGGCACUGGCAGAACGUGGUACCAAGGAAGUGUUAUGAGGUCAUGGUUAUACUAUAUAGGUAAUUCAAGUUCGAGGUUAUAGAAGAGAGCUUUACAAUUUAUAUUUUUCUGAUUGGAAUUUCUCCAUAGACAAAGGAAUUGUUGAGGCUGCUAGCAAUCUGAAUCACAUUUUAAUAGAUUUUUCU